UUCCUGACAACGCUCUCGAGGUCCUCAUCCUCUUAACCUUGUGACGUGCGAGAGGAAGGUGCCCUGCUAGAGACAGAGAGGAGCAGGGGCUCGGCCACUCUCUUCAGAUGACUGGACCGAUAUUUAUUCAGGGCCGCCUUGUGCAGGAAUGCAAGCCCACAGGGCAGCCCACGCGCGUCCCCUCUGUGUCACCUCCAGACGCCACAGGAAGCCUGCGACUUAGUGCCCGCCUGCUGUCUGUCGGAUAAGUGAGUGCCGUGAGGGUGCGGGAGGCCCUGGAGCACCCCUGCCCGGCUCUUCCACUCCUUUCAGCUGCGAACGCUGGACGGGCCUCGCUUUUACCCUGCAGGCCACAGCUCACUCGUGCAGCUCUUCCUCCUGUCCCCGCACAUGGCCCAGCCGCAGGUGGGAUUUGCUCUGCCCCACUUUGGAGUCAGCCUCGGAGGUUAACCCCGCUCUGGGGCGCAGAGGGGUCUCCAUCCUCCCCCCAGUGGGCUGUCUUUGGUGUCUCUCCCCGGAGCUUGCUUUCCAUCUCUUUGCUGUACUGGAGACUUUCCUGACGGUCUUGUUGGGAAAGCAUUAUUAGUAUUUGUGGACAAAAAUGGUUGCUUUUGAGAAAGUAUGCUUUCAAGUGACUCCCCAGUACAUGGCUGAGCCCGUGAUUGUACAGUAAACUGUAUCUUGAAAUGAUGUGCUGCGUAAGGGUUGAGUACAGACUUUUGUUAGUGGGGAGAAGAUGCAGCAGAGUUGGUAAUAAACAGCUUAGAAACCUGGAACGCGUCUUCCUACAGCAAGUGCUAAAGUGAACCAUGAGAAUGAAGAAGUCCACACUCUGCCCUUGGCUGUCUCCGGGAUGGCGAUGCCUACGAGAGGGACAUGAAUCCGGCUCGGUGCUUCCUCCACUCUUCCCCGGACAGCAGUGCUGGCUAAAGGAGCCAUCCUGGGGCACAGACACCUCCCAGGAAAGCCUCGACACCAGUGAUCAGGCUAUCUGACAUCAGAAAUCCACAGGCACCCACACAGAAAACAAACAAAACCCAGAAAAUGACAAGAUGAGAAAGCAAAACAGAAUCAGCAUGUCCAGCCCACCCAGGACAAGUCCAGGACACAAAGAGACAGAGGAAGUCGGAAGCCAGCAAGCGGAACUCUCUGAAAUGACAGCAGCGGAAGUGAAAAAAAAAAAAAAUCUCAGAGGUGCCAAAAGAAAUGACUAACAAAAUAAAAGACCUCGAAGUAGACGCAAAUAAAGGAAUAGAGGAGCUCAGGAAAAUGAUGGGAACCACAAAUGCCAAGUCUAGAUAAGAAAUGGAAUCAAUUAAAAAACAGAUCCACACAGAAGUGCAAGAAACUAGAAGCUACAUUGGAAAUACGUGCAGCAGAUUGAAGGCAGGUGAGGAUAGCGUAUCAGAUCCAGAAAACAGGACUAUGACCAGUGACUGGGAAAGAAAGAUAUCAGAAAAAUCACAAGAGACUGUGAAAAAUCAGUCCAGCAGCUACAGGAGGAAGCAAGCAAGAGCAGGGUAAGACUGACUGGCGUUAGCAAGAAAACUGGAGACAGAGCAAAAGCCGUCAGAAACCUCUUCACAGAAAUAAUGGCAGGAAAUUUCCCAAACAGGGACAAAGAAUUUGAUAUACAAAUAAAUGAAGCACAUAGAACUCCAAAUAGCCAUCACCAAAAUAAGUCUAUACCAAAGCAUAUAGUAAUGGAGACUCCAGAAAUUCAGCACAAGGGCAAAAUACUGAACAAAAGAAACAUAUCAUCUAUAUAGGAAAGCCCAUCAGAAUCACAGCAGACUUCUUAACACAAACCCUAAAAUCAAGAGGAGCUUAAAGUACUUCAAGCUCUAAAGGAAAAUAAUCUUAAACCCAGAUUGAUGUACCCCACAAAACUAUCUUUCAAAAUUGAUAGAGAAAUAAGAUAUUUCCAUAAAGAAGAGCAACUGAAGAAGUUUAUUAUCACUACACCAGCUCUGUAGAAUGCUCUGAAGGACAUAUUGGAAAGAGAGAAUAAAGGCCACAAGCAUAGAAACAUUAACAGAAAGAAGCCUCCAGGCAGGGUAGCAGUUAAAGGGAGCAGAAAGACAGGAACAAACAGCAGGGGCCACGUGGAAAGGAAAAAUGAAUAUAUCAGUUGUAACCAUCAAUGUAAACGGUCUCAAUUCACCAAUCAAAAGAAACAGACUGGAUGAAGAAGCAAGAUCCAACAAUAUGCUGCAUUCAAGAAACACAUUUAACUAAAAAAUAAAAUCAUAGACAAAAAGGCAAAGGAUGGAAAACAAUUCUCCAGGGCACAGGAACCCAGAAGAAAAAAAAAGAAAGCAGGAGUAGCUAUUCUAUUUGCAGACAACGCAAACUCUGAGCCAAAACUAAUCAAAAGAGAUAAAGGUCACUACAUACUCAUUAAGAGAAAACUCCAAGAAGAAAAGAGAUAAAAAUCAUAAAUAUUUAUGUAGCAAGUACAGAUUCACCCAACUACAUAAAAUAAAUAUUAAUUGACAUGAAAAAGCAAAUAAGCACUAACAUGAUUGUAAUGGGGGACCUUACUACCUCACUCUCACUAAUGAAUAGGUCAACUAGACAAAACAUCAACAAAGAAAUAUAAUUAAGGUGAACCUGUGAACAAAUGGGUUUUGUCGGUGACUACAGCAUGUCCCUCUCCCAAAGGUCAGAUAUACACAGUCUCAGUUUCGCAAGGAGCACUCUCCAAAAUAGAUCAUAUAUUAGCUGAUGAAAGAUAUUUAAGAAAUGUAGAGGAAUUAAAAUCACCCCAUGUGUACCUCUGACCAUAGCACUGUGAAACUGAAAAUCACAACAAAGGAAACCACAAAACCUGCACAAACACAUGGAAAUUAAACACCUCCUAUCUGAACAACAAAUGGGUCACAGAGGAAAUUAAGGAUACAAUUAAACAGUAUGGACAGUUAAACAGUAUUGCCUAUACAACGUACCAAAACUUAUGGGAUGCAAUGAAAUCAAUCCUAUGAGGGAAAUUUGUAAUGAUGAACUCAACCAUCAGAAAAACAGAACAAGCUCAAAUAAACAAACUAAUAUCAAACUUCAAACUAAAAAGAAGAACAAAUCAAACCCAGAGCUCGUAUGAGUGAGGAAAUUACAGGAAUAAGAGUAGAAGUUAAUGCAAUAGAGACUAAGAAAAAAUACAAAGAAUCAAUGAAUUGAAAAGUGGGUUCUUUGAAACAAUAAAUAAAAUUGAUAAUUCACUAGCCAACCUUAUCAAAAAGAGGCACUUAGGAAUGCAAAAAUCCCUAAUAAGAUCCUGGCAAACAGAAUGUAGCAAAUCAUCAUGAAGAUUAUACACCAUGACCAAGUAGGACUCAUCCCAGGGAUGCAGGGAUGGCUCAACAUACAUAAAUCAAUAAAUGUGAUACAGAACAUUAACAGAUCCAGAGACAAAAAUCACAUGAUCAUCUCAGUAGAUGCAGAAAGAGCAUUUGACAAAGUCCAACAUCCAUUCAGGAUAAACAUCCUAUAGAAAAUUGGAAUAUAUGGUCUUUACCUCAAUGUUAUGAUAGCCAUCUGUGACAAAUCCACAGCUAAUGCCAUAUUACAUGAUCAAAAGCUGAAAACUUUCACUCUAAAGUCAGAAAUGAGACAAUGAUGUCCAUUAUCACCACUCCUAUUCCAUAUAGCUCUGAAAACAUUAGCCAGGGCAAUUGGACAAGAGGAAAAAAAUUAAACAGAAGAAAGAUAGGAAAGGAAGAAUUAUCAUUAUUUGCAGAUGACAUGACACUAUAUAAAAGACCCCCAAAGCUCCACCAAAAAACUAUAGAUUUAAUGUCUGAAUUGAGUCAUACAGGGAGAUACAAAGUCAAUACCCAAAAGUCAAUAGUAUUCCUGUACACAAGCAACAAAUUCACAGAGGGAAAGUACACUUUCUGUGAUCACACACACACACACACAAAUGAAAUACUUAGGAAUCAAUCUAACAAAGGAUGUAAAAGAUCUGUAUCGUGAAAAUCAUAAUAUCCUAAAAAGGAGGUUGAAGGAGAUAUCAUAAAAUGGAGAGAUAUUCCUUGCUCUUGGAUAGGAAGAACCAACAUAGUGAAAACAGCUACAUUUCCAAACCCGUUAUACAGAUUUAGUGCAAUCCCAAUCAAAAUCCCAUUAGCAUACCUCACAGAUCUAGAGAAAACACUGAAAAACACUUGAAACCAGAAGAGACCUAGAAUAGCAAAAGCAAUUCUGGGCUAAAAGGCAAGUCAGGGGGUAUCACAAUGUUGGGAGCCGCGGCCGAGCCCGGUCGCCUUACUUGGCGGACGUGAGGCCUGUAGGAAAGAGAAAAGCCUGAGCUAGAUUACCCCUCCCAUCGAGUAUGCUAAGAUGGUGCUUACUUCCUGCUUGGUAAACAACCCGCCCUGUAAGAUCUCCUGCUUCCUGCUUGGUAAACAACCCGCCCUGUAAGAUCUCCUGCUUCCUGCUUGGUAAACAACCCGCCCUGUAAGAUCUCCUGCUUCACAACCCGCCCUGUAAGAUAGUCUGCCUAGCAACAACUGAUGUUAGCCAAUCAGCCCGCAUCGCGCGCUUUGAACUGAUUGGCCACUGUUACCCUAUAAAAGUGAGUGCCUCUCCCGCCACGAAAAAAAAGAAGCAGAAGAAGCACGCAAGGAGCCGCGGAGAGCGGACCGGUAGAGGCUUCGGGACAGACUGUAGGGAGAAGUACGCAAGGAGCCGCGGGGAGCGGACCAACAAAGGCUUCGGCCGGGAGGAUUCCCAGGGCAGGCUGUACGGAGAAGGAAAAUAAAAGAAAAGGUUGUCCACUGCCAGACUUUGUUGUGUGUCCUUCCUGCCGGCCGGGAGUGACACCGACAUCUGGUGGCCCGUACGGGGAGCUGAUCACCCCCGAGACGUGGCAGUGGACAACGCUCCAACGCAGAGCUGCAAGACAGGAACCGGGACGAGAACCACUGUGGGUACCGGAGAGACUGACACGGGCAACAAAGCCCUCGACUGAAGAUCAGACCUGCCCUACCGGAGAUCCAUCACAGACCAACCAACAAGAUGAAUAGAAAUAGCGGUAGCCCAAAAUGGACAAAAAGAUCCUCAGGCAUAUGCAUGGCUCGCUCGCCUAGCCUACGACCGAGUCUAGGGGCGGUGAGCUUCCCACACUCCUCCUCUAAAAAAUUAUGACAUAGCUGGGUAGGAGAGUCAAUGACGGGUAAGAGCGUACUCCCCCGGUGCGACUCAACCUAAGCCAGGCCCUACCCCAUCCUGCACGUAAGCCGCUGGACUGUUAGAUGCUGCCCAGGUCUAAAUUUCUCUCCGAGGGGAUUUCUUUACGGAGAGGAAAUGAGUGCAAGCUUGUGUGCAUCCAGGUUCCGUCCAGUUUGUGCCUGGCCCUAGAAAAAGGACGAGGGCCUCAGGGCCUUGGCAGACCAUGGGACGGCCGACCAGGGUCUAAGCCAAGGACCUACGGUGGGCCUACGCAUAGGGCAUAAGCCUCUGCACCCAGUCCAGGAAGGGCUACGAUGCGCACAUUCAUAAAAAAUAAAAAAGGGGGAGAUGUUGGGAGCCGCGGCCGAGCCCGGUCGCCUUACUUGGCGGACAUGAGGCCUGUAGGAAAGAGCAAAGCCUGAGCUAGAUUACCCCUCCCAUCGAGUAUGCUAAGAUGGCGCUUACUUCCUGCUUGGUAAACAACCCGCCCUGUAAGAUCUCCUGCUUCCUGCUUGGUAAACAACCCGCCCUGUAAGAUCUCCUGCUUCCUGCUUGGUAAACAACCCGCCCUGUAAGAUCUCCUGCUUCACAACCCGCCCUGUAAGAUAGUCUGCCUAGCAACAACUGAUGUUAGCCAAUCAGCCCGCAUCGCGCGCUUUGAACUGAUUGGCCACUGUAACCCUAUAAAAGUGAGUGCCUCUCCCGCCACGAAAAAAAAGAAGCAGAAGAAGCACGCAAGGAGCCGCGGAGAGCGGACCGGUAGAGGCUUCGGGACAGACUGUAGGGAGAAGUACGCAAGGAGCCGCGGGGAGCGGACCAACAGAGGCUUCGGCCGGGAGGAUUCCCAGGGCAGGCUGUACGGAGAAGGAAAAUAAAAGAAAAGGUUGUCCACUGCCA